CCUGUUGGCAUAGAUGUUCUAAUGAACGCCCUAGAUGUUUGCAGUAAUGCAGAAAACGCUAGUCUAUUUCAGUCAUGAAGUCAUUUGUGGAACACAAAGCCAAACACGUCGUGGGGUUUGCAGCUUUUCUUUGUUUGAAAUGACUGUCGCCUGCCGCGAACAACGCACGGUACACGACGAAAUGUCACCUUGGGAGACGGGAAACAAAGACUCAGCAUUUGUCUACGUUUCGUGUGAUGCACAAUUAAGCGUUUCACACGAUGAUCUAAUGAACAACACGCGAUUAGCUGCGCGGGUUCAACACUGGACCGCCUCUCGGUGGAUCCGGUCACACAGCUGUUGUCGAAGGUGACAGACGUGACAAAUUAAUGAUCAGGCAGCGUUGCAGUCAAGUUUCCCCGCUUGUGACAGCCUAUGCUUUUAAAUCGUGACUACGUACCCGCAACGAUCGGCGACAGCGCGGCUCUGGUUAGUUUCAGCCAGCAGAUGGAUGCAGCAGGAAGCCCUCGGUGUAACGCACCCAACCUGGUGAGCGCUGGACACAAACACACACUGAGACUCACGCGUACGUGCACACGGAGGCGCAGGAAGGGAUGUGGAGUUUCUCCCGCUGAAGCAGCUGAUCGUCCGCCGCCGGUAGCCGUUCAUACAUUAAAGCUUUGUUUUCACAGAGGAGGACAAAUGCCCGCACACACACGCAGCGUCAUCACACAUGACUGCAUACAAAUGCAUGCAAACACACCUGUGCACACCCACACACGCGAGGCAACAGCAUAUAGGCAGCUUUAGGUCUGCGUUUGAAUAUGAUUUGUAUAUAUGUCACUUGGCUUUUCAUUCAUUUAGUCGGAUGCGUCACAGCGCAUAAAUAGGCAACACAACCUGUAACUGCGUAUUAAAAGACACUACAAAAGAAAGGGACACUGCACCUGAGGCGUCCUCUGUCCUGGUGGCGUCUAUUCAGUGAUUUUAGCAGCAGGUGAACCCAGCAGAGACGUCAGUAUAAGUGAGUGUAUAGAAGAAGCACAGUCACACCAGUCGGUCAGCCUUUGCACCCAGUAUCCACAUGAGCUAAAGAAAUGAAAAGGCUGUUGGUCUACAGACAAAAUGGCUAAUAUAUUAACCUAUUUACCAAUAUUAGAUUUAAAUGAUGCAGUGUUUAAAUGUUUUAUGUUCAGGGUGACUUUGAUCAGAUCACAUUAGACUCUAAACUCGUGACAUUAUUUCAUGAGUCAUUUCUUUAAUGUUUCAUGAACAUUGUUGCAUGAACAGGUUUAGAUAUGCAUGAACCAACCACUGGCUAAAGUGUCAUGAGAAGCACAUUUCUUUCCUCCUUUGUCUGAAAACUGCCCCAGUUUCUCCUUUACGGCAUGUCUGCACAUCAGAGUUCCCAUCUGGUUCUACAAGUUCAAGCAGGCCUCCGGCACUGCCUGAUAGGUUGAAGGAAGAGACAGCAGCUUCUACUCCACAACAAAAUAUAAUUUAAUGAAUUCACUUUUCACUGUGUCGAUUACAACUCUAUGUUGGUGUAACAAAAAAAAGGAAAUGAUCCAGUGCUCUCAUUUGUCUUAAUGUAAGGCAUGCAGUCUCCACACAGCGCUGGACAUUUAAAGCUACAGUUACUGUACAGUAGGACUCACUGACACUCGGCCACAAAUACACACACAAGCUCGUAUUACCCACACUUUUCUUGGGCCCAAUAAACAUUUAUUCUUUGCACAUAUAAUGAGUAAAUCUAGGAUUCAUCACAACACUAAAAGAAGUUGUAGUUCACAAAUACACAGGAUACGUAAAUUCUCCCAGUGGGGCCUUUUUCCUACCAUCUCAGCUCUUGGGGAAUAAUUGGUGAUGCUGCAAUUCUUGAAUAUGAAAA